AUUGACACUUUAACAAAGAAGUCAUCUAAAUGAAAAGGCAACUGGUAAAAGUGCAAGAAAAACAAAUUAAUGUUGAAAAGAAAAUGGAUAUUAUGAUUCAAAUACUACAAUAAAAAACAAAUGAACGAAAAAAGGGAAGCCAAAAGAUUAACGUCCCUGCACAAAUUGCAUAAUCAAGAAGGGAUGGUUAUCAGCAGGGUAUUACUGAAAAGGAUUUCAUCUGGAGAAUAAAGAACGAAACUGGCAGUAUUUUAAAAUAUAAUUCUGCAGAGAACAAAGAGAAGUCUGGAUUCAUCAUAGAAUUUGUAAAAGGCCCAAUAUCCUGAUGAAGUGGAGGGUGUUGUUAGAGAAGGGAUAAAGACAAAUUUUGAAUCGUUCAAAGCAAAGAAACGAAGAGACGAAACUGGUAAACAAGAAGAACAUAACAAGAAAAUGGCUGUGUACAGCAAGAUGAGAAGAAAAUUAAACAACAGAAAAAAGGCCCUAAAAGUAAAAGUCCAGUAUACCAGAGGAACAAAAAGAAAAGGGCUCGAAAAGCCUUGUGGUGCAGAACAUGUCUUAUGAACAAACAGAUUCAUAAGACGAAGGAUCGUUUAUCGUCAGACCUCUGCCUUGGAGGUCUGACGAUGUUGAUAAAUUAGUAAAAAAAACUAGGCCAAAAACAUGAUGGUCAACUAACCAAGAGAAGGAGACGGCAGCAACAUAAACGAAAGGUUGGGGCAGUUUCCUCAAGGAUAAAACCAGAAGUCGUGCCAGGACAUGAAUGGGUGUUUAAAUAGUUUAAAAAUAAUGUCAAUGAUUUA